UACGUAGGGGGCAAGCGUUGUCCGGAAUCAUUGGGCGUAAAGAGCGUGUAGGCGGUCUGUCGCGUCUGCUGUGAAAAUCCGGGGCUCAACCCCGGACUUGCAGUGGGUACGGGCAGACUAGAGUGUGGUAGGGGAGACUGGAAUUCCUGGUGUAGCGGUGAAAUGCGCAGAUAUCAGGAGGAACACCGAUGGCGAAGGCAGGUCGCUGGGCCACUACUGACGCUGAGAAGCGAAAGCAUGGGGAGCGAACAGG
rnacentral:rRNA from 1 species